AUGCCAUGGUGCGGACAUAUGAUCAGCAUCCCUUUAAAAUGCUCUCAUGUUUCAUGCAAUGUUUCCAUUGGUCUUUGUAUAAAACUCAAAAUGUCAUCAAUCUGUUG
rnacentral:snoRNA from 1 species